rnacentral:rRNA from 1 species
UACAGAGGGUGCGAGCGUUGUUCGGAAUUAUUGGGCGUAAAGCGCAUGUAGGCGGGAUGUUAAGUCGCGUGUGAAAGCCCCAGGCUCAACCUGGGAAGUGCGCGCGAAACUGGCAACCUUGAGUGCUGGAGAGGGUGGCGGAAUUCCCGGUGUAGAGGUGAAAUUCGUAGAUAUCGGGAGGAACACCAGAGGCGAAGGCGGCCACCUGGACAGACACUGACGCUGAGACGCGAAAGCGUGGGGAGCAGACAGG